rnacentral:pre_miRNA from 2 species
AAAUUGAUGCACUCAGUGGGGGAGCCAGGAAGUAUUGAUGUUUCUGCCAGUUUAGCGUCAACACUUGCUGGUUUCCUCUCUGGAGCAUCA